rnacentral:rRNA from 1 species
GUGGGGAAUAUUGGGCAAUGGGCGAAAGCCUGACCCAGCAACGCCGCGUGAAGGAAGAAGGUUUUCGGAUCGUAAACUUCUAUCCUUGGUGAAGAUAAUGACGGUAGACAAGAAGGAAGCCCCGGCUAACUACGUGCCAGCAGGCGCGGUAAUACGUAGGGGGCAAGCGUUGUCCGGAAUGAUUGGGCGUAAAGGGCGCGUAGGCGGCCCGGUAAGUCUGAAGUGAAAGUCCUGCUUUUAAGGUGGGAAUUGCUUUGGAUACUGUCGGGCUUGAGUGCAGGAGAGGUAAGCGGAAUUCCCGGUGUAGCGGUGAAAUGCGUAGAGAUCGGGAGGAACACCAGUGGCGAAGGCGGCUUACUGGACUGUAACUGACGCUGAGGCGCGAAAGUGUGGGGAGCAAACAGGAUUAGAAACCCGAGUAGUCC